rnacentral:rRNA from 1 species
AGCAGCCGCGGUAAUUCCAGCUCCAAUAGCGUAUAUUAAAGUUGUUGCAGUUAAAAAGCUCGUAGUUGAAUUUCGGGAUCAAUUUAUUGGUCGUGCUAUUGUACGUACUGGUAUUAUUGAUUCCUACCUUCUGACGAACCAUGAUGUCAUUAAUUUGGUGUCAUGGGGAAUCAGGACUGUUACUUUGAAAAAAUUAGAGUGUUUAAAGCAGGCUCACGCUUGAAUACAUUAGCAUGGAAUAACGAAAUAGGACGUUUGAUUCUAUUUUGUUGGUUUCUAGGAUCGACGUAAUGAUUAAUAGGGAUAGUUGGGGGCAUUAGUAUUUAAUUGUCAGAGGUGAAAUUCUUGGAUUUAUUGAAGACUAACUACUGCGAAAGCAUUUGCCAAGGAUGUUUUCAUUAAUCAAGAACGAAAGUUAGGGGAUCGAAGACGAUCAGAUACCGUCGUAGUCUUAACCAUAAACUAUGCCGACUAGGGAUCGAAUGACGUUAAUUUUUAAUGACUCAUUCGGCGCCUUACG